rnacentral:rRNA from 1 species
AGCGAACGCUGGCGGCAGGCUUAACACAUGCAAGUCGAGCGGACCUUUCGGGGUCAGCGGCGGACGGGUGAGUAACGCGUGGGAACGUGCCUUCCGGUUCGGAAUAACCCUGGGAAACUAGGGCUAAUACCGGAUACGCCCUUAUGGGGAAAGGUUUACUGCCGGAAGAUCGGCCCGCGUCUGAUUAGCUAGUUGGUGGGGUAACGGCCUACCAAGGCGACGAUCAGUAGCUGGUCUGAGAGGAUGAUCAGCCACACUGGGACUGAGACACGGCCCAGACUCCUACGGGAGGCAGUAGUGGGGAAUAUUGGACAAUGGGCGCAAGCCUGAUCCAGCCAUGCCGCGUGAGUGAUGAAGGCCUUAGGGUUGUAAAGCUCUUUUAUCCGGGACGAUAAUGACGGUACCGGAGGAAUAAGCCCCGGCUAACUUCGUG